GGGACUCGGGUAGUGCGCACGGGUGCGUACGCGUGGGACCUGCCUUUAGGUUCGGAAUAACUCAGAGAAAUUUGAGCUAAUACCGGAUAAUGUCUUCGGACCAAAGAUUUAUCGCCUUUAGAUGGGCCCGCGUUAGAUUAGAUAGUUGGUGGGGUAAUGGCCUACCAAGUCGACGAUCUAUAGCUGGUCUGAGAGGAUGAUCAGCCACACUGGGACUGAGACACGGCCCAGACUCCUACGGGAGGCAGCAGUGGGGAAUAUUGGACAAUGGGCGAAAGCCUGAUCCAGCAAUGCCGCGUGAGUGAUGAAGGCCUUAGGGUUGUAAAGCUCUUUUACCAGGGAUGAUAAUGACAGUACCUGGAGAAUAAGCUCCGGCUAACUCCGUGCCAGCAGCCGCGGUAAUACGGAGGGAGCUAGCGUUGUUCGGAAUUACUGGGCGUAAAGCGCGCGUAGGCGGUUUUUCAAGUCAGGGGUGAAAUCCCGGAGCUCAACUCCGGAACUGCCCUUGAAACUGGAUGACUAGAAUCCUGUAGAGGCGAGUGGAAUUCCGAGUGUAGAGGUGAAAUUCGUAGAUAUUCGGAAGAACACCAGUGGCGAACGCGACUCGCUGGACAGGUAUUGACGCUGAGUGCGAAAGCGUGGGGAGCAA
rnacentral:rRNA from 1 species